UCCUACACUGUCGGCAAGGUCUGGAUUUC
rnacentral:piRNA from 1 species